rnacentral:rRNA from 1 species
UACGUAGGUGCGAGCGUUGUCCGGAAUUACUGGGCGUAAAGGGCGCGCAGGCUGUUAUGCGAGUCUGCUGUGAAAUGUACCGGCUCAACCGGUGCCUUGCGGCGGAUACUGCAUAGCUUGAGUACUGGAGAGGGAAGUGGAAUUCCCGGUGUAGCGGUGAAAUGCGUAGAGAUCACACAGAAUAUCGAUUGCGAAGGCAGCUCACAAAGCCAAGAUUGACGCUGAGGCACGAAAGUAGUGGGGAGU